GGGGUUGUGGCUCAGUGGUAGAGUGCUUGCCUAGCACACAUGAGGCCCUGGGUUCAAUCCUCAGCACCA
rnacentral:tRNA from 1 species